rnacentral:rRNA from 1 species
UACGGGGGGGAGCAAGCGUUGUUCGGAUUUACUGGGCGUAAAGCGCACGUAGGCGGAUUGUUAAGUCAGGGGUGAAAUCCUGGAGCUCAACUCCAGAACUGCCUUUGAUACUGGCGAUCUUGAGUCCGGGAGAGGUGAGUGGAAUUCCUAGUGUAGAGGUGAAAUUCGUAGAUAUUCGCAAGAACACCAGUGGCGAAGGCGGCUCACUGGCCCGUAACUGACACUGAGGCACGAAAGCGUGGGG